rnacentral:rRNA from 1 species
UACGUAGGUGGCAAGCGUUGUCCGGAUUUACUGGGCGUAAAGGGCUCGUAGGCGGCCAACUAAGUCGGAUGUGAAAUCCCCAGGCUCAACUUGGGAACUGCAUCCGAUACUGGAUGGCUUGAAUUCGGGAGAGGGAUGCAGAAUUCCAGGUGUAGCGGUGAAAUGCGUAGAUAUCUGGAGGAAUACCGGUGGCGAAGGCGGCAUCCUGGACCGACAUUGACGCUGAGGAGCGAAAGCUAGGGGAGCAAACGGG